rnacentral:rRNA from 1 species
AAUUCGGACUAAUGGCGCCGGGUGCGUACGCGUGGGAAUCUGCCCUUGGGUACGGAAUAACUCAGAGAAAUUUGUGCUAAUACCGUAUAAUGUCUUCGGACCAAAGAUUUAUCGCCCAAGGAUGAGCCCGCGUAAGAUUAGCUAGUUGGUGAGGUAAGAGCUCACCAAGGCGACGAUCUUUAGCUGGUCUGAGAGGAUGAUCAGCCACACUGGGACUGAGACACGGCCCAGACUCCUACGGGAGGCAGCAGUGGGGAAUAUUGGACAAUGGGCGAAAGCCUGAUCCAGCAAUGCCGCGUGAGUGAUGAAGGCCUUAGGGUUGUAAAGCUCUUUUACCCGGGAUGAUAAUGACAGUACCGGGAGAAUAAGCUCCGGCUAACUCCGUGCCAGCAGCCGCGGUAAUACGGAGGGAGCUAGCGUUGUUCGGAAUUACUGGGCGUAAAGCGCGCGUAGGCGGUUUUUUAAGUCAGAGGUGAAGCCCAGUGCUCAACACUGGAACUGCCU